UACGAAGGGGGCUAGCGUUGCUCGGAAUCACUGGGCGUAAAGCGCACGUAGGCGGCUUUCUAAGUCAGGGGUGAAAUCCUGGAGCUCAACUCCAGAACUGCCUUUGAUACUGGAGAGCUCGAGUCCGGAAGAGGUGAGUGGAACUCCGAGUGUAGAGGUGAAAUUCGUAGAUAUUCGGAAGAACACCAGUGGCGAAGGCGGCUCACUGGUCCGGUACUGACGCUGAGGUGCGAAAGCGUGGGGAGCAACAGGG
rnacentral:rRNA from 1 species